GACGAACGCUGGCGGCGUGCUUAACACAUGCAAGUCGAACGGUAAGGCCCUUCGGGGUACACGAGUGGCGAACGGGUGAGUAACACGUGGGUGAUCUGCCCUGCACUUCGGGAUAAGCCUGGGAAACUGGGUCUAAUACCGGAUAGGACCACUGCCUGCAUGGGUGGUGGUGGAAAGCUCUUGCGGUGUGGGAUGGGCCCGCGGCCUAUCAGCUUGUUGGUGGGGUGAUGGCCUACCAAGGCGACGACGGGUAGCCGGCCUGAGAGGGUGACCGGCCACACUGGGACUGAGAUACGGCCCAGACUCCUACGGGAGGCAGCAGUGGGGAAUAUUACACAAUGGGCGCAAGCCUGAUGCAGCGACGCCGCGUGAGGGAUGACGGCCUUCGGGUUGCAAACCUCUUUCAGCACCGACGAAGCGCAAGUGACGGUAGGUGCAGAAGAAGGACCGGCCAACUACGUGCCAGCCGCCGCAGUAA
rnacentral:rRNA from 1 species